GAUGAACGCUGGCGGCGUGCCUAAUACAUGCAAGUCGAGCGAACAGACGAGGAGCUUGCUCCUCUGACGUUAGCGGCGGACGGGUGAGUAACACGUGGAUAACCUACCUAUAAGACUGGGAUAACUUCGGGAAACCCGAGCUAAGACCGGAUAAUAUAUUUAACCGCAUGGUUCAAUAGUUAAAGACGGUUUUGCUGUCACUGCUACAUGGAUCCUCGCCGCAUUAGCUAUUUGGUAAGGUAAAGGCUUAACAAGGCAACGAUGCGUAGCUGACCUGAGAGGGUGAUCGGGCAUACUAGAACUGAGACACGGUCCAGACUUCUACGGGGGGCAGCAGUAGGGAAUCAUGCGGCAUGGGCGAAUGCUUGACGGUGCGACGGCGCGUGAGUGAUGAAGGUCGUCUGGUCGUAAAACUCUGUUAUUAGGGAAGAACAAGUGUGUAAGUAACUAUGCACGUCUUGACGGUACCUAAUCAGAAAGCCACGGCUAACUACGUG
rnacentral:rRNA from 1 species